UGGGAUCAUAAGACUGGUGGGUGGAAAUAGUAGCACUCUUUUUUUUUGAGUGCUGCUAUUUCCACCCACCUGUCCUAUUUUUCCA
rnacentral:miRNA from 1 species